AAUACAAAAAAAAAUCCUUUUUGUUAUAAUGGCUUUGGUUCUUGAAUGGAAGACUCAACUUAUGGUUCUCUUUGUGAUUUUUGGGAUGUAUGCAUCUCAAGUCACUUCUCGAAACCUUCAAGAAUCAUCAUCCAUGUUGGAAAAACAUGAGUUGUGGAUGGCGCGCCAUGGAAAAACUUAUGAAAAUGAUGCAGAAAAGGCAAAAAGAUUGAAUAUAUUUAAGGAGAAUGUGAAAUUUAUUGAGUCUUUUAACAAAAAUGGGACUAAGCCAUACAAAUUAGGCAUCAAUAAAUUUGCUGAUCUUACUUCUGAGGAAUUCUUAAAGUACUAUACUACUCAUGGACUUAAUAAGUUGUCUUCAAAAUCUCAACAAUCAUCUCCAGCUAUAUUUUCAUCAUUCAAGUAUGAAAAUAUGAGUGAUGUUCCAUCUUUCAUGGAUUGGAGAAAGAGUGGUGCUGUCACUAACGUCAAACAGCAAGGUCAAUGUGGAUGUUGCUGGGCAUUUGCGGCGGUUGGAGCCUUGGAAGGAGCAAAUAAACUCUCAACAGGCAAGUUAAUUUCACUAUCCGAGCAAGAGUUAUUAGAUUGCACAACCGAAAACAACGGUUGUAAUGGUGGUUUGAUAACAACCGCCUAUGAUUUCAUCGUAAAAAAUGGCGGAAUCGCAUUGGAAUCCAACUACCCUUACAAGGAAUAUCAAGAUUCGUGCAAGAGCGCCCAAGAGGGGACGGACUCGGCCGUAAAAAUGAGUCGUUACGAAACUUUACCAUCGAGCGAAUCAGCAUUAUUAAAAGUUGUAUCGCAACAACCCGUCUCGAUCGGUAUCGCCGUAACCGAAGAAUUUCAUAUGUACCAAAGUGGCGUUUACGAUGGCAGUUGCGAUGAUCAACUUAAUCAUGCAGUUACUAUAAUUGGCUAUGGGACAAAUGAAGAUGGAACAAAAUAUUGGCUAAUUAAGAAUUCUUGGGGUACAAGUUGGGGCGAAAAUGGUUACAUGAAACUUGCAAGGGAUACUGGAAUUGAAGGUGGUCUUUGUGGGAUAACCACUGCGGCUUCCUAUCCCAUCGUUUAGAAAUUUGGUCUAAAUAGCACACCUUUAGUGCUAGUUUGGUUACUUUUUAAAGGGUUAUGUUGUACUAGCUAGUGCAAGAGCUUUUGUUCUUGCAAAUUAAAGGUCCUUGUAUUACAGGAUGAAUUAAAGAGGAAUUUAACCUAUA